rnacentral:rRNA from 1 species
GACGAACGCUGGCGGCGUGCUUAACACAUGCAAGUCGAACGGAGUGGCGAACGGGUGAGUAACACGUGGGUGACCUUCCCUGCACUUCGGGAUAAGCCUGGGCAACUGGGUCUAAUACCGGAUAGUGUGGGAUGGGCCCGCGGCCUAUCAGCUUGUUGGUGGGGUAAUGGCCUACCAAGGCGGCGACGGGUAGCCGGCCUGAGAGGGUGGACGGCCACAUUGGGACUGAGGUACGGCCCAGAAGCCUCGGGGAGGCAGUAGGGGGGACGCUUGCACAAGGGCGGGAAGUCUGAUGCAGCGACGACGCGUGGGGGAGGACGGCCUUUGGGGUGGAAACUGCGUUCACCAUCGACGCGGUAGAUGGAGAAGAAGCACCGGCUAACUACGUGCCAGCCGCCGCGGUAAUUC